GCGAAACGCAUUUUGGACUUACAUAGUCUACAUAUUGGACUUUUAAUUGGACUUUUUUUGUCUAUAUUUUUAAUUCUCAUUGGGAAUAUUUAUUUCCAUACUUUUUGAUAUUCACUGUUAUUUCACAAUAAAGUUCCCUCAUUGGAAACACAUUGGAAUAUUGUGAUCUUCUACCCAAGGAGGAAUACCAAGAGGAAUGGGGACAUCCAAAUAAAAGUCCCACUGCGCUGCACAUAAGAGCCAUAUGUCUAAAUUGGCUCUAGGCUUGUGAGUAAUACUGCUCUAUCUCUACU